rnacentral:rRNA from 1 species
GUGUGAAGAAGGCCUUCGGGUUGUAAAGCACUUUCAGUUGUGAGGAAAAGUUAGUAGUUAAUACCUGCUAGCCGUGACGUUAACAACAGAAGAAGCACCGGCUAACUCCGUGCCAGCAGCCGCGGUAAUACGGAGGGUGCGAGCGUUAAUCGGAAUUACUGGGCGUAAAGCGCACGCAGGCGGUUUGUUAAGCUAGAUGUGAAAGCCCCGGGCUCAACCUGGGAUGGUCAUUUAGAACUGGCAGACUAGAGUCUUGGAGAGGGGAGUGGAAUUCCAGGUGUAGCGGUGAAAUGCGUAGAUAUCUGGAGGAACAUCAGUGGCGAAGGCGACUCCCUGGCCAAAGACUGACGCUCAUGUGCGAAAGUGUGGGUAGCGAACAGGAUUAGAUACCCUGGUAGUCCACACCGUAAACGCUGUCUACUAGCUGUGUGUGCCUUUAAGGCGUGCGUAGCGAAGCUAACGCGCUAAGUAGACCGCCUGGGGAGUACGGCCGCAAGGUUAAAACUCAAAUGAAUUGACGGGGGCCCGCACAAGCGGUGGAGCAUGUGGUUUAAUUCGAUGCAACGCGAAGAACCUUACCUACACUUGACAUGCUGAGAAGUUACUAGAGAUAGUUUCGUGCCUUCGGGAACUCAGACACAGGUGCUGCAUGGCUGUCGUCAGCUCGUGUCGUGAGAUGUUGGGUUAAGUCCCGCAACGAGCGCAACCCUUGUCCUUAGUUGCCAGCCUUAAGUUGGGCACUCUAAGGAGACUGCCGGUGACAAACCGGAGGAAGGUGGGGACGACGUCA